rnacentral:rRNA from 1 species
GACGAACGCUGGCGGCGUGCCUAAUACAUGCAAGUAGAACGCUGAAGGAGGAGCUUGCUCUUCUGGAUGAGUUGCGAACGGGUGAGUAACGCGUAGGUAACCUGCCUGGUAGCGGGGGAUAACUAUUGGAAACGAUAGCUAAUACCGCAUAACAGUAGAUGUUGCAUGACAUUUGCUUAAAAGGUGCAAUUGCAUCACUACCAGAUGGACCUGCGUUGUAUUAGCUAGUUGGUGGGGUAACGGCUCACCAAGGCGACGAUACAUGGCCGACCUGGGAGGGGGAUCGGCCACACUGGGACUGAGACACGGCCCAGACUCCUACGGGAGGCAGCAGUAGGGAAUCUUCGGCAAUGGACGGAAGUCUGACCGAGCAACGCCGCGUGAGGGAAGAAGGUUUUCGGAUCGUAAAGCUCUGUUGUAAGAGAAGAAAGAGUGUGAGAGUGGAAAGUUCACACUGUGACGGUAUCUUACCAGAAAGGGACGGCUAACUACGUG